GGACUUUGCCAUUGAUGAAACUGUACAUAAUGUACAUGAUGUUACCUUAGAUGGUGAGUGGGAUGUGGAUAGGCUAUUUGAAAUGCUUCCUGAAGACUUAGCAAUACACAUUCUGGAGAAAAUCAAACCACCUUCACCUCAGCAGGUUCUUGACAUGCCUUGUUGGAUGCUGGAAACAAGAGGAUAUUUCAGUGUUAAGUCAGCAUGGGAGUAUACAAGAAGAAGAGACGAACCAAGAACAGCUUAUAGGAUGAUUUGGCUAAAGGGACUGCCUUUUAAAAUAGCAUUUUUCAUGUGGAAAGUGUGGAAAGCAAAGCUACCUUUAGAUGAUUUCUUGAAAAGGGUAGGCUACUGCAUGCCAUCAAAAUGUUGGUGUUAUGUACAGCCUGACGAGGAAUCUCUUCAGCACUUAUUUUUUAGAUCAGAAACUGCAAGGACAACUUGGAAGUAUUUUCUAUCGAGGGCAGGAAUAGCUGUGGAGGGAUUAACAUUGCACCAAGCAAUCACAAAAUGUUGGACUGCAAAUGUGUGCUGAAGGCUCAAACCAGUAAUGCAAGAACUUCCCUCAUGUGUAGUCUGGGAACUCUGGAAAAGAAGAAAUAGUAUGAAGUAUGGUGAUGCUGUGACAACUAGCAGGGUGAUUUAUCAAGUUUCAUCAAAUCUCCAGGCAUUGGUGAAAGAGAGAAAACCUGGGAUGGACAUGGUACCUCACAAAUGGCAAGAUAUAUUAGCUAUGAUGGAAAAUUUCACUCCUAAACUUAAGAUUACCAAAGUCAUGUGGGAAUUUCCAAGUGCAGGAUGGCUAAAAGUUAAUACGGAUGGUGCAUCGAGGGGAAAUCCAGGCAGGAGCUCAAUAGGUUUUUGUAUAAGAAAUGAAAAUGGAGACAUAGUCAAGUCAGUAGGGAAGGAGAUUGAGAAGACAACAAACACAGUAGCUGAAGCGAAGGCCAUGGUAGAAGCACUAAGGUUCUGCAGAUUUCAUCAAUACUCUCAUGUAUGGCUUCAAACUAACUCAAUAUUAUUAAAAAUGAUAAUGGAUGGGAUCUGGAAACCACCAUGGAUCAUAUUUGAGCAGGUAGAGGAAAUGAUGCAACUAAUGAAUGGGGGCAAUUACACAGUUACUCAUAUUCAUAGGGAUGGCAACAAGCUGGCAUAUCACUUGGCUAAUUAUGUUUUAGAUCAUGGAGAAAUAGAAUGCCAACAAUUCUGGCAUCUAGAUGCACAUGGAAGGAGGUUAGUUAAUGAAGAUAAGCUGCAAUGUCCAAGUCUAAGGGUGAAGGUGGACAGGAGAUAAGAAGCAAAGAUAAAAGGAAGAGCAGGAGCCAUGUCAACUUAAUCGACCAAUAUAUUCAAAUCCUAAGGGAGGAGGAUAUAAUGGUUGGUAUUUCUAACUAUCUUUUCUCUCGUGCAGGUGCCAUUACGAGUAUAUUAUCCUAUGCUUUCAGAAAGCCAAUGGGCAAUGACUUGGGAAUGUCUUGUUUUCCAUCAAGACAAAAGGAACGACAAAGGCAGGCACGCCUGGAACAAAUGCAUGGGAUCGAG
rnacentral:lncRNA from 1 species